CGGCCUUGAAAUACCACCCUUUAAUGUUUGAUGUUCUAACGUGGACCCGUGAUCCGGGUUGCGGACAGUGUCUGGUGGGUAGUUUGACUGGGGCGGUCUCCUCCUAAAGAGUAACGGAGGAGCACGAAGGUUGGCUAAUCCUGGUCGGACAUCAGGAGGUUAGUGCAAUGGCAUAAGCCAGCUUGACUGCGAGCGUGACGGCGCGAGCAGGUGCGAAAGCAGGUCAUAGUGAUCCGGUGGUUCUGAAUGGAAGGGCCAUCGCUCAACGGAUAAAAGGUACUCCGGGGAUAACAGGCUGAUACCGCCCAAGAGUUCAUAUCGACGGCGGUGUUUGGCACCUCGAUGUCGGCUCAUCACAUCCUGGGGCUGAAGUAGGUCCCAAGGGUAUGGCUGUUCGCCAUUUAAAGUGGUACGCGAGCUGGGUUUAGAACGUCGUGAGACAGUUCGGUCCCUAUCUGCCGUGGGCGCUGGAGAACUGAGGGGGGCUGCUCCUAGUACGAGAGGACCGGAGUGGACGCAUCACUGGUGUUCGGGUUGUCAUGCCAAUGGCACUGCCCGGUAGCUAAAUGCGGAAGAGAUAAGUGCUGAAAGCAUCUAAGCACGAAACUUGCCCCGAGAUGAGUUCUCCCUGACCCUUUAAGGGUCCUGAAGGAACGUUGAAGACGACGACGUUGAUAGGCCGGGUGUGUAAGCGCAGCGAUGCGUUGAGCUAACCGGUACUAAUGAACCGUGAGGCUUAACCUU
rnacentral:rRNA from 2 species